GAUUAUAAAACGUACUAUAAAUUUUUUUGCACGAAUUAGGGGGAGCUAACCAUAUAUUGUUUUUAGACGUAGCCAUGCGUUGCAUAGCAAUGAAGUAAAUGUAUGUUUAGGGGUGAUAGGCCUGUCAAACCUUAGGAUAACUUGUUGCAUAGGAUAAAUAUUAAGUAUUGCGACAUACUCACAAAGUUAAGCUUGUUAGGCGAAAUUAAAGGCGAUAUAUAACGAAAUAUAUAAUAUAAUUGUUAAUAUUUCUAUUUAUAGGCAUAAUAAUCGUGUUAUUAUGGCUCAUACUAUGCCGCUAAAGGGACUUUUAAGACGUUGAUAAUGUAAUUAUUAGUAGAUUAUCUAAGUAUGUUUAAGGAACUCGGCAACAUGUCGCUCAGCUGUUUAUCAAAAACACCGCCAUGCGAGAUAAUGCAUGGUUUUUUCUGCUCAAUGAUAUAUUAAAUAGCCGCAGUACCUUGACUGUGCAAAGGUAGCAUAAUCAGUUGGCUUUUAAUUGGAGUCUGGGAUGAAUGAAAUAAUGGGUGGCAACUUUCUCAAAUAUAUUAUUAUGAAUUUGGUUAGUAGGUGCAAAUACCUACAUAAAAACAAAAGACGAGAAGACCCUAGAAGCUUAAAUAUGAUUUUGUUGGGGCGACAGAAUUACAUUAAACUAAUUCUUAUUACUCGAUGUAAAGGAGAUAGAAUAAGCUACUCUAGGGAUAACAGCAUAAUUUUAGAAGUUUGUGACCUCGAUGUUGGAUUAGGGCCAUUAUGUCUUAGGAGGGUAUGAUGUCAAGCUCUGUUCGAGCAGUAUAACCUACAU
rnacentral:rRNA from 1 species